rnacentral:rRNA from 1 species
CCUACGGGAGGCAGCAGUGGGGAAUUUUGGACAAUGGGCGCAAGCCUGAUCCAGCCAUGCCGCGUGCAGGAUGAAGGCCUUCGGGUUGUAAACUGCUUUUGUACGGAACGAAAAGGUUCUUUCUAAUAAAGAGAGCUCAUGACGGUACCGUAAGAAUAAGCACCGGCUAACUACGUGCCAGCAGCCGCGGUAAUACGUAGGGUGCAAGCGUUAAUCGGAAUUACUGGGCGUAAAGCGUGCGCAGGCGGUUAUGUAAGACAGUUGUGAAAUCCCCGGGCUCAACCUGGGAACUGCAUCUGUGACUGCAUAGCUAGAGUACGGUAGAGGGGGAUGGAAUUCCGCGUGUAGCAGUGAAAUGCGUAGAUAUGCGGAGGAACACCGAUGGCGAAGGCAAUCCCCUGGACCUGUACUGACGCUCAUGCACGAAAGCGUGGGGAGCAAACAGGAUUAGAUACCCUGGUAGUCCACGCCCUAAACGAUGUCAACUGGUUGUUGGGUCUUCACUGACUCAGUAACGAAGCUAACGCGUGAAGUUGACCGCCUGGGGAGUCGGCCGCAAGGUUGAAACUUAAAGGAAUUGACGGCNGAGAGNGCGACGACGACGACGAGGGAGGAGG